AAUGAACGCUGGCGGCAUGCCUAACACAUGCAAGUCGAACGAAGCCUUCGGGCUUAGUGGCGCACGGGUGCGUAACGCGUGGGCAUCUGCCCUUGGGUUCGGAAUAACAGUUAGAAAUGACUGCUAAUACCGGAUGAUGUCGCAAGACCAAAGAUUUAUCGCCCAAGGAUGAGCCCGCGUAGGAUUAGCUAGUUGGUGAGGUAAAAGCUCACCAAGGCGACGAUCCUUAGCUGGUCUGAGAGGAUGAUCAGCCACACUGGGACUGAGACACGGCCCAGACUCCUACGGGAGGCAGCAGUGGGGAAUAUUGGACAAUGGGCGAAAGCCUGAUCCAGCAAUGCCGCGUGAGUGAUGAAGGCCCUAGGGUUGUAAAGCUCUUUUACCCGGGAUGAUAAUGACAGUACCUGGAGAAUAAGCUCCGGCUAACUCCGUGCCAGCAGCCGCGGUAACAC
rnacentral:rRNA from 1 species